rnacentral:rRNA from 1 species
GACGAACGCUGGCGGCGUGCCUAAUACAUGCAAGUCGAACGAGAGCGACCGGUGCUUGCACUGGUCAAUCUAGUGGCGAACGGGUGAGUAACACGUGGGUAACCUGCCUAUCAGAGGGGGAUAACAUUCGGAAACGGAUGCUAAAACCGCAUAGGUCCUUUAACCGCAUGGUUGAAGGAGGAAAAGAGGCGCAAGCUUCUGCUGAUGGAUGGACCCGCGGUGCAUUAGCUAGUUGGUGAGGUAACGGCUCACCAAGGCCGUGAUGCAUAGCCGACCUGAGAGGGUGAUCGGCCACACUGGGACUGAGACACGGCCCAGACUCCUACGGGAGGCAGCAGUAGGGAAUCUUCGGCAAUGGGGGCAACCCUGACCGAGCAACGCCGCGUGAGUGAAGAAGGUUUUCGGAUCGUAAAGCUCUGUUGUAAGUCAAGAACGAGUGUGAGAGUGGAAAGUUCACACUGUGACGGUAGCUUACCAGAAAGGGACGGCUAACUACGUGCCAGCAGCCGCGGUAAUACGUAGGUCCCGAGCGUUGUCCGGAUUUAUUGGGCGUAAAGCGAGCGCAGGCGGUUUGAUAAGUCUGAAGUUAAAGGCUGUGGCUCAACCAUAGUUCGCUUUGGAAACUGUCAAACUUGAGUGCAGAAGGGGAGAGUGGAAUUCCAUGUGUAGCGGUGAAAUGCGUAGAUAUAUGGAGGAACACCGGUGGCGAAAGCGGCUCUCUGGUCUGUAACUGACGCUGAGGCUCGAAAGCGUGGGGAGCGAACAGG